rnacentral:rRNA from 1 species
UGAGGAAUAUUGCACAAUGGGCGCAAGCCUGAUGCAGCAACGCCGCGUGCGGGACGAAGGCCUUCGGGUCGUAAACCGCUUUUCUGGGGGAAGAGCAAGGACGGUACCUCAGGAAUAAGUCUCGGCUAACUACGUGCCAGCAGCCGCGGUAAAACGUAGGAGGCGAGCGUUAUCCGGAUUUACUGGGCGUAAAGCGCGUGCAGGCGGAUUGGAGAGUUGGAUGUGAAAGCUCCCGGCUUAACUGGGAGAGGUCGUUCAAUACUUCCAGUCUUGAGUGCAGUAGAGGGAAGUGGAAUUCCGGGUGUAGUGGUGAAAUGCGUAGAUAUCCGGAGGAACACCAGUGGCGAAAGCGGCUUCCUGGACUGUAACUGACGCUCAGACGCGAAAGCUAGGGUAGCAAACG